GACGGCGGCGGGUGGCUAGGGCAUAAUUUCUAAACACGUAGGGGAGGAACAAAAGCCACAGAAUAUGCCCAGAGGCUUUAUAGGGGUCGGAUUGGGGCUUGGUUUGGAAGUUCCCGUGAAAGCUGGGAUUCGGUGGCCGGCUCCAGAACAGAGUCCAAGCUGCUCGCGAGUUGGGGAAGAAGAAAGAAGGAGAUCGUGACACUGACGCGUGGGCCCAGAGUGGCAGUGAGAGGAACAGCGGGGUCGGGCUGUCAGGGAAAGAAGGGAAAGGGGUGGCGCGGGCUGGCUUCUGCCACUGAGCCGCGAGUUGUGCCGCGGAGGGGGAAAAGAGGAGUGGCGCGCUUGGGCCGGGAAGGAAAGAAAGGGGGAAGGAGGAGAGUUUGGGCCUUCGGGCCAGAAAGAGGGGUGAGUUUUCUUUUCUUCUAUUCUUUUCUUUUCUUUUCUUUUCUUUUCUUUUCUUUUUAUUUCUUUUUAUUUCAAAGUCGUUUUUAAAACAGUUUAGAAAUCAAUUUUAAAAUAUUUUGACUUUGCUCAAAUUCACACAGUACAAUGAAAAUGAAUGCUCCAAUAUGAAUGCACAACAAGUUGCUAAGUCCUAUAAUAAAUUUUAUUUAAAUGAAAAUAUUAUUUUCCUAUGUUUCAUGAGCACAAAAAUCUAAAAUUAAAUCAUUUUCACCUAUUUGAAAAAGGAGUAAAUUUUAGGGUGUUACAAUCGUCCUAAAUCUAAAGCCGAAGUUUCGAAACCUACAGCCCCGACAAACUUCCGGCGAACCUUUGACGAGCUUUUCCGGUCAUGUUUGUCAUCUCUGGCAAAUUCCGCUUCCACCCCGAGAUUCGUCUCAUUGUUCUCUACACCGGCACGCUAUUGCUUUUACGAAUCUAUAUCUUGUUUAUCUGGCUCUCCAUCUCCUCUCUCUUCUCCGGCGACAAAACUCCAUUGCCGGCGACGCUAACUUCAGUUCUCUGCAGUCUUCGUAGCUUGGGGUCUCUUCUUCGGUUAUCCUGGCCUAAUCCGGCUGCUGCCCCUGGAGCCAUCCUGCGC
rnacentral:lncRNA from 1 species